UUGAGCGUAAAUACUCUAAAGUCACCAAUUCCCGUCUGAUAUUGGAAGCUAAGCAGGGCUAGUCCUGGUUAAUACCUGGAUAGGAGUUUACCAAUGGAUAUCAUGGGGAUAUCAUGGAUACCCUGAGU
rnacentral:rRNA from 11 species